rnacentral:lncRNA from 1 species
CCCAAAUAGCCUAACACUUGGAUGUGGACUAACGGUAAGGAAAAGCGAACAAGUUCAACAAGUGUUAUCUUAGGUAUAGGUAACGUAGAUCGGGUAACUUCAUGAGGAAGGGUAACCUAAAAUCCUAACUCUUCACAAGAACCACCAAAGCGCGAAUGAUGCACGCAUUCCAGGAUUUCAAAAACUUUGACAAUCACGACCAUUCUGUCCUUGCUAGUCACAACCAUAACGGGUCAAGGUCCUCGAUCUUGAUCUGAUGAAAUGUACACCCAAAAUCAUCCCCAACGACUUACUUAACUCACUUCUUGAAACUGACCUUUGAUCUGCAGCGGUUGGAAAAUAAACGGUCUGCAUGACUUGGUUAACUUCUUCAGAAAUAAUAGCUUCUUUAACAUUCACGUCAUACUCUAACAUCUCCUCGAACCUUUGAAACUCCAUGGUCUUUUAUCUACUCUAAAAUUCUUGGCUAAGUUCCGAAAGAUUUUCCAUAUGAUCUUUGGAUUAUUCCCCAAACCAUAAUCGAUGAAUCCAAUUCACUCGACACGUAUCUCAAUGCUGAAAUUGUUGUAUAUGAUUAACUCAACCUGAACCUCCUGGCGGAAACAUCUCACUGUACCAACUCCGUAAACUAAAUCUUCAAUCGGUCCCAUACCUUGUGUAUAAAAUAUUACUUCGUGAACUCUUGAAAUCUAUCCAAAUCGUUCUCACCUCUCUGAAGAAAAUAUUUUUCUCAGAGUGUUGCAUCCCAAAUCUGCCUCAAGCCAUAGUAUACCUCGAACGGUUUAGUCCUUCUUCUGUAUCUUGUGGUCCCACUACUUCUUUCUAUCAUAAGCUUUAACAUGUCUUGUUGCCAACAGAAGAUGCAUGUGUAUCCAUCGUCUUGUACUACAGUUGAACCAUCUCUUCCUCCAACGGUAAGCUCCAAACAAAUUUUGAACAAUUCAGGCCUGUACGACUCUGUUUCUUGUACGUCUCAGCAUAAGCUAGAGACUUGAGAAGCCGGAAGAAUAAGUGCAUCUAGGUGAUCAUGUGCAGUCGCAUCGCUCUGAAUCAAACCACAAACAACGCCCACCU